UAGGUGUUUGUGCACGAACCACCUGCUGGAGCAACGUGACAGAAUGGAUGUCUCAGACCUUUUAGCAAAGCAGCUACUGUCACACAACUUCAGCAUCAUUAUUACACAGCAGCUCUCCCUGCUGACUGUAUGGAUGCAGACCGACAGAUACAAUGAAUGAGCUCGUCAGAUUCAGGAGAACACCCGCAGCAUCGGGCCCUCCUGUGGAGAAACCAAAACACAAAGGCCUCCACCGAGUCUCUAUUAACACUCACGACACGGACGCGGCGACUGCGUUGUCUACGAAUAGAGCAGAAUCUCCCAGGAGGUCACGCUCCGACUCCAGGGGUCAUUUAACGACUGCCACCAUGAUGAAUUAGAGGUAAUGUUGUUAGACUAUUGAAGGUCUUCUGAAAAAGCAUUUACUUUUUAAAACCACGUUAUCUUUAUACUUGUUUGUUUUGUUUUUUUUGGUAAAGAUUUAUGUCUUGAAUCUACCAUAGUUCCUAUAUGGGUCAUAAAUAGAAUUAGGCCAAUAACCUAACUAGCCUGAGCAUUGAUGACAUAAUAGAUGAGCAACACCAAACUGAUGUUGAUUGGCCUCUUGGAAACCUCCCUGUUAGUCAAAUCUUUUAAACGACGCUGGAGAAAUGUCCAGUUUUUGUAACAUCUCUGUUGUCCUUUAUUCCUUAGAGAAGUGUUUCACUGGCAGAUUUUGUAAAAAAGAAAAGAGAAGAAAAUUCAGGAGUGGCGUCUUGUUGAAAAGAGAACAUUUUUAUUCUAACAAGAUGUGAAAAUAGGCUCUUCUGACAGAUUACAAACCUGUUAUAAAACGUGUCUUAUUGUGUAGUUUUCCGUCUCCAUUUGUUCUCCUCUUGCUCCUGUACAUUGUUUUUGAAUUUUGAACCCGAGUCAGCAGAUACGGACAACAGUUCUGUGGAUGCUUAAAAUCUGGUCACAAUCCAGCAGCUAGAAAACCUUAAGAUUGGUAGUGAAUGUUAAAGACGGUUUGAAAUGACUGCUGUGUGGCUUCAGUCCAAAAAUUCAUUCAUUCACUCGUUUGCAACUGGUGCCUGUUAGACCACAUUGAAAACAUAGAAAUAUGAACUUUCUAUCAGCCUCCAGGCCGCGGGAAAUCACGCACUUCGCCCAGUCUGGGCUGUUUUUCCGACCCCUAGCUUUGGUCCUGUUUCUAUAACCAAACAGCAGGAGAAAACUGAGGGCAUGUGUCAAAUUAAAACAAAAGCAUUAAAAUUCAUAGUGACUAGUUGCAGAUCCUCUGUGGUAUUCCACCCACAGCUGUUUCAACCUCUUACUGCUCCCUCUGAGGACAGUCAGUAAGCAAGAAAACAUAAAAGGAAGGAAAAAACUCAAAGUGAUAACUUUUUGGGAGACACCCGUAUUCCAAAUCACUUGACAGUUGUGUUUUUUUUCAUGUUUAAUCCAAUAAAGGAAAACUGAAUAACUGUUACAUAAAGCACCAAAAACACUAUAAAUGUGUAGUUAGGGUUGCAGAUUAAAUGUAACUUGAGGCUAACUCUGGUUUACUGUCCUACAUUAAAUGGCAGAAAUUAUGCAUUUAUUUUACAUGAUUUCUGUUUGAUUCAAUAAAAUUAAUAUGCUAACUACUAUUAACAACUGAAAAGGUGCUUAACAUGCGAUUUUUCGCAUGUUAAGCACAUGUUUUCGCAUGUUUUUUUGACCAGGUGCCGCAUGAAGAGUUUUGGGUAAACGUUUAUUUGUCUUAAAUGCAAAAUGUAUGUCUUUUUUGCUCAGUUUCGGCCUUAUUAUUGCUCUCUGUAUGUUUUUCUUUCAUCAGAUGGUUUCUUUUGGAGUCUGUGUGCUCCAGUUAACAAUUAAUCGACAACUAAAUUAGCUGACGAUUAAUCUCAAUAAUCACGAUUAAUCGGAGUAAUCGUUUCGGACCUGUCUACGCCAGUCCGAACGGUGCUAACAGCCUCUCUUUUCCCCAGAUGCUGCAGAACCGUGAGACCAGAACUUAUCACCACUGUACACGUUCAGUAUUUAUUGUAAAUAAAUCCUUUCUUUUUUG